rnacentral:lncRNA from 1 species
UGGUGCUAAACGCUUCUGGGAAAGGGUGAGAGAUUUAGGGAGGGGAAAGCGGUUAGGGGGGGCAAGAGGAAAGAUGGAGGGAGAAUGUACAUUAAGCACACUCUUAGAAAAAAGGGUCCCAAAAGGGUUCUUUGGCUGUCCCUGUAGGAUAAACCUUUUUUAGUUCCAUGUAGACCCCAGUACCUGGAACUAAAAGGGUUCUACCUGCAACCGCAAAUGGUUCUUCAAAUGGUUAUCCUAUGGGGACAGCUGAAGAACCCUUUAAGAUUAUAGAUAGCACCUUUUUUUCUAACAGCAUACCACCAAACCAAAGGGAGAGAAAUGUAAUAGGUGAGAGAAAAGGAUGGAAGAUAAAAAAAGGGAGGAGGGGAGAGAAAGAGGGCAGAAAGGUAUGGGAAGGGAGGAGGGGAGAGAAAGAGGGCAGAAAGGUAUGGAAAGGGAGGAGGGGAGAGAAAGAGGGCAGAAAGGCCAUGGGGAGGAAGAAGGGAGGAGGGGAGAGAAAGAGGGCAGAAAGGACAUGGGGAGGAAGAAGGGAGGAGGGGAGAGAAAGAGGGCAGAAAGGCCAUAGGGAGGAAGAAGGGAGGAGGGGAGAGAAAGAGGGCAGAAAGGACAUGGGGAGGAAGAAGGGAGGAGGGGAGAGAAAGAGGGCAGAAAGGACAUGGGGAGGAAGAAGGGAGGAGGGUAGAGAAAGAGGGCAGAAAGGACAUGGGGAGGAAGAAGGGAGGAGGGGAGAGAAAGAGGGCAGAAAGGACAUGGGGAGGAAGAAGGGAGGAGGGGAGAGAAAGAGGGCAGAAAGGUAUGGGGAGGAAGAAAGGGAAAGGAACGUCAUCACCAAUUAGGACGGCAGGGAGUGAGCUGGCUGGUGUGUUUGAACUGCCAGAGCCCUGGGCCCAUUAGCUGUACUAAUGCAGCGUUUGGAGGGAGGGAAACCGAGCCCCCAG